GAAAGCCUUGACAGGAAAGCACACCACGAGGAAAAAGGCAAAUCACGUAGUAGACGAAAAUAACCAACUCUGCAACAGUAUACGAGUGAAUGAACCCAUAGAGGAAACAUGAGAGGAUGAACACGACAUCCCACUCGAGAGAUCCAUCAACAGGUUCGCGACGUAGAGACAAAAGGGAGGAUGGAAAAAAACAUGCAUUCCAAUUAAGCAUCAACAUCACACCGCCGCCACGUGACAGCAAUAAGGUAUCUCUUGGGUCUGUCAGCGGUACAUUUAAUAAGGCGAUGGGAAGUGCUGUUGUUGCUAAUCUUAUCAAUGAAGUUCGCUCCUUACGUAUAUCACAUGUUCGUGCAGUGUAACUUUAAUGUAUCACGGCCUUGACUGUCAGUUUGUGAGAUGAAAAAACGAUAGAUUUGUUUACCGUGCGAUAAUGCUGUCUCAUCUCCAUGCUGACUUUCUGAGAGGCGUGAACGCGUUGAUUCUUUGUUUCUACCGGCGAUCCUUAAGUAAAUUUGGUAUUUUGUGAAAUGUUACCAGUCAGGAAAAUAGAAAUAUAUGACUCGUGAUUAAAAAAAAUGGAAGAAAAGAGAUAUCAGAAAUUUGUUUGUGUUAUAUGAAAUGUUACCAAUCAGAAAAAAAAAUAUGACUCGUGAUUAAAAAAAUGGAAAAAAGAGAUAUCAGAAAUUUGUAUGUGUUGUGUUUGUGUUAUAUGAAAUUUUAUCAGUCAGGAAAAUAGAUAGAUAGAAAAGUAUAAGACUCAUGAAUAAAAAAAAAAUGGAAAAAAAGAUAUAUCAGAAAUUCGUUAUGUUAUAUGUUAGUGUAAAUAUAUUUUUGUAUUAUAUGAAAUUUUACCAGUCAGGAAAAUUAAUAAAUAGAAAAAUAUAAGACCCUUGAAUAAAAAAAAUAAAAAAAAGGAGUUAACAGAAAUUCGUUUGUGUUAUGUGUUUGUGUAUAUAUGUUUGUGUUAUAUGAAGUUUUAUCAGUCAGGAAUAUAGAUAAAUAGAAAUAUAUAAGAAAGAAAGAAGAAAAAAUAUAAGACAUGAAUAAAAAAUGGGAAAAAAAGCGAUAUCAGAAAUUUGUUUGUUAUAUGUUUGUGUUAUACGAAGUUUUAUCAAUCAGAAAAAUAGACAAAUAGAAAAAUAUGACUCAUGAAUAAAAAAAAAAUGGAAAAUACAGAAAAGAGAAAAUACUUAGGUCGACAUUAUACGACACUUUCGCUUCUCACAUCAACUAAUUCUAAAGGUCAAAGAAGGGGUCAGUCGGGUUCUAAUGAGUGUUUCUUUAGGUUCACGGUACAGGAGAAGGGUCACACUACCACACCAGGGCCAUAAAACUACUACUGGAAAUGCCCUUAACUCCUACGAAAGCCUUGUCAAAAAUGUGUUUCUUAGGUUCAUGGUACAGAAGAAGGGUCACAGUACCACCAGGGCCAUAAAACUACUACUGGAAAUGCCCUUAACUCCUACGAAAGCCUUGUCAAAUAUGUGUUUCUUAGGUUCAUGGUACAGAAGAAGGGUCACACUACCACCAGGGCCAUAAAACUACAACUGGAAAUGCCCUUAACUCCUACGAAAGCCUUGUCAAAUAUGUGUUUCUUAGGUUCAUGGUACAGAAGAAAGGUCACACUACCACCAGGGCCAUAAAACUACAACUGGAAAUGCCCAAAACUCCUACGAAAGCCUUGUCAAAUAUGUGUUUCUUAGGUUCAUGGUACAGAAGAAGGGUCACACUACCACACCAGGGCCAUAAAACUACUACUGGAAAUGCCCUUAACUCCUACGAAAGCCUUGUCAAAUAUGUGUUUCUUAGGUUCAUGGUACAGAAGAAGGGUCACACUACCACCAGGGCCAUAAAACUACUACUGGAAAUGCCCUAAACUCCUACGAAAGCCUUGUCAAAUAUGUGUUUCUUAGGUUCAUGGUACAGAAGAAGGGUCACACUACCACCAGGGCCAUAAAACUACAACUGGAAAUGCCCUAAACUCCUACGAAAGCCUUGUCAAAAAUGUGUUUCUUUAGGUUCAUGGUACAGAAGAAGGGUCACACUACCACCAGGGCCAUAAAACUACUCCUGGAAAUGCCCUUAACUCCUACGAAAGCCUUGUCAAAAAUGUGUUUCUUAGGUUCAUGGUAUAGAAGAAGGGUCACACUACCACCAGGGCCAUAAAACUACAACUGGAAAUGCCCUAAACUCCUACGAAAGCCUAGUCAAAUAUGUGUUUCUUAGGUUCAUGGUACAGAAGAAGGGUCACACUACCACCAGGGCCAUAAAACUACAACUGGAAAUGCCCAAAACUCCUACGAAAGCCUAGUCAAAUAUGUGUUUCUUAGGUUCACGGUACAGAAGAAGGGUCACACUACCACCAGGGCCAUAAAACUACAACUGGAAAUGCCCAAAACUCCUACGAAAGCCUAGUCAAAUAUGUGUUUCUUAGGUUCAUGGUACAGAAAAAGGGUCACACUACCACCAGGGCCAUAAAACUACAACUGGAAAUGCCCAAAACUCCUACGAAAGCCUUGUCAAAUAUGUUUACUUGGGGGGCGAGAUAUUUUAAGAUACGACGCUAAGAGGCCACGUCGCCGCUCAUUCCCUUAUCGCUACCAUUUGUGUGCUAGAGAUAUGACUUUCGCCAUACCUGAUACCUGACAACUCACCACUCUCGUCUCACGCGCCCCCUCGCCCUCUCACGCCUAUCCCACCGUUCUCCCAACACACCGGCUAGCCCAAGGAAAAGAGAAUGGGAAGAAGAGGAAAGUACAAUUAGCGUUAGGGAAUGAGAAAGAAGAGAAGAGAGGACUACAGUAAGAGUGGAAGGAAGAGGAAAGGAAAGUACAGAAAGAAUUUGGGAAAGGAGAAGAAGAGGAGGAAAGUACAGAGUUAGGGAAUGAGAAAAACGAGAAGAGGGGAGAAAAGUGGGAGUUGGAGGAAGAGAAAAGGAAAGUACAGAAAGAAUUGGGGGAAGAAGAAGAAGAAGAAGAAGAAGAAGAAGAGGAAAGUAAGAUUACCUAUUUAUGCUACUGAAGAAGGGUCAAGCUGCCACCAGGGUCAUAAAACUACAACUAGAAAUGCCCAAAACUCAUACGAAAGCCUUGUCAAAUAUGUUUACUUGGGGGGCGAGAUGUUUUAAAAUCCGAACACCUCGCCGCCUGGCCUCUGUGUGUGGUGUGCGAUCCUACCAUGUCCAAGGUCGUUACACACACACACACACACACACACACACACACACACA